rnacentral:lncRNA from 1 species
CAGUAUUUCUGAAGAGCCUUGCCUGGGAGCACGACCCUGCUGAUGGGCAGACAGUUAAGUGGAUGCUUCUGGAGCCUAUUCAGUGUGAAGACAACAAGGAUGGAGACAUUUAUAAUGAUCCAUUUCCACUUAG